GGAUGGGACACACUUUUCUGUGUGUGCUGUUGUUGACCUUGUUGGAUACACUCCUCUACUGUGGACAUGCUCAAGAUGCUGUGCUGACUACUGACCCCUACUGGUCACCUUUGUUCACUGGAGAGUCAGUUACCUUGAUAUGUGACAUGAAGGAAGGAGGAGUCA